rnacentral:tRNA from 1 species
GCUAUAGUAGCUCAAUGGUAGAGCCCCAGCUUUGAACGCCGAGAGACCUGGGUUCGAUCCCCGGCUGCU